UAGUUGGUGGAGCGAUUUGUCUGGUUAAUUCCGAUAACGAACGAGACUCUAGCCUAUUAACUAGUUCAACCGUACAUGCUGGCGGUUGUCAACUUCUUAGAGGGACAAGUGGCGUUUAGCCACGCGAGAUUGAGCAAUAACAGGU
rnacentral:rRNA from 1 species